rnacentral:rRNA from 1 species
UACGGAGGAUCCAAGCGUUAUCCGGAAUCAUUGGGUUUAAAGGGUCCGUAGGCGGUUUUAUAAGUCAGUGGUGAAAUCCGGCAGCUCAACUGUCGAACUGCCAUUGAUACUGUAGAACUUGAAUUAUUGUGAAGUAACUAGAAUAUGUAGUGUAGCGGUGAAAUGCUUAGAGAUUACAUGGAAUACCAAUUGCGAAGGCAGGUUACUAACAAUACAUUGACGCUGAUGGACGAAAGCGUGGGGAGCGAACAGG